AAAGGGCCGCGGUAUUUUGACCGUGCAAAGGUAGCAUAAUAAAUAGUCUCUUGAUUGGAGGCUGGAAUGAACGGCUUGAUGAAGGACUCACUGUCUUUUCUUUUAAGGUGGAAUUUAACUUUUUAGUGAAAAGGCUGAAAUUAGGUGGGGGGACGAUAAGACCCUAUAAAACUUUAUACGCCUGAGUUGGUUUUUAGAUUUAGGUUUAAUUUAAGUUUGGUGGUGGCGUAUUUCGUUGGGGAGAUGAUGAUAUAACUGGUAACUGUCUGUUAAAAUUUAAUAAUUAUAGUUAGCUUAAGAUCCUUCCUUGAAGAUUUAAAGAUCAAGUUACUUUAGGGAUAACAGCGUGAUUUUCUCUGAGAGUCCAUAUCGACGAGAGUAGUUGCGACCUCGAUGUUGAAUUAAAAUUCCGGACUGGUGCAGCCGCCUUUCUAGUUGGUCUGUUCGACCUUUAAAAUUUUACGUGAUCU
rnacentral:rRNA from 1 species